rnacentral:rRNA from 1 species
GCCCUGGUGUUUGUACGUUAUACGGGGAUUAGGGUUCGAUUCCGGAGAGGGAGCCUGAGAAACGGCUACCACAUCCAAGGAAGGCAGCAGGCGCGCAAAUUACCCAAUCCCGACACGGGGAGGUAGUGACAAUAAAUAACAAUACGGGGCUCAUUUGGGUCUCGUAAUUGGAAUGAGUACAAUUUAAAUCUCUUAACGAGGAACAAUUGGAGGGCAAGUCUGGUGCCAGCAGCCGCGGUAAUUCCAGCUCCAAUAGCGUAUAUUAAAGUUGUUGCAGUUAAAAAGCUCGUAGUUGAACUUCGGGGUUCACCCAUUGGUCAGGCUUAAUUGUUUGUACUGGUGAGAUGAGUCUCUACCUUCUGAGGAACUUUCAUGCCAUUUAUUUGGUGUGAUUGGAAAUCAGGACUGUUACUUUGAAAAAAUUAGAGUGUUUAAAGCAGGCUAACGUCUGAAUACAUUAGCAUGGAAUAAUGAAAUAGGACGGAUUGAUUCUAUUUCGUUGGUUUCUAGGAUCACCGUAAUGAUUAAUAGGGAUAGUUGGGGGCAUUAGUAUUCAAUUGUCAGAGGUGAAAUUCUUGGAUUUAUUGAAAACUAACUACUGCGAAAGCAUUUGCCAAGGAUGUUUUCAUUAAUCAAGAACGAAAGUUAGGGGAUCGAAGACGAUCAGAUACCGUCGUAGUCUUAACCAUAAACUAUGCCGACUAGGGAUCGGACGCAGUUAAUUUUAUAAUGACGUGUUCGGCACCUUACGGGAAACCAAAGUGUUUGGGUU